rnacentral:rRNA from 1 species
AAUGAGUUAACUAGCAAAAACUUAACAAAAUGAAUUUCAGCUAAGUACCCCGAAACCAGACGAGCUACUUAUGAACAAUUUACCAAGAACCAACUCAUCUAUGUG